UAAGGGCGCACGGUGGAUGCCUUGGCACUAGAAGCCGAUGAAGGACGUUACUAACGACGAUAUGCUUUGGGGAGCUGUAAGUAAGCUUUGAUCCAGAGAUUUCCGAAUGGGGAAACCCAGCAUGAGUUAUGUCAUGUUAUCGAUAUGUGAAUACAUAGCAUAUCAGAAGGCACACCCGGAGAACUGAAACAUCUUAGUACCCGGAGGAAGAGAAAGAAAAUUCGAUUCCCUUAGUAGCGGCGAGCGAAACGGGAAGAGCCCAAACCAACAAGCUUGCUUGUUGGGGUUGUAGGACACUCUAUACGGAGUUACAAAGGACGACAUUAGACGAAUCAUCUGGAAAGAUGAAUCAAAGAAGGUAAUAAUCCUGUAGUCGAAAAUGUUGUCUCUCUUGAGUGGAUCCUGAGUACGACGGAGCACGUGAAAUUCCGUCGGAAUCUGGGAGGACCAUCUCCUAAGGCUAAAUACUCUCUAGUGACCGAUAGUGAACCAGUACCGUGAGGGAAAGGUGAAAAGCACCCCGGAAGGGGAGUGAAAUAGAACCUGAAACCGUGUGCUUACAAGUAGUCAGAGCCCGUUAAUGGGUGAUGGCGUGCCUUUUGUAGAAUGAACCGGCGAGUUACGAUUUGAUGCAAGGUUAAGCAGUAAAUGUGGAGCCGUAGCGAAAGCGAGUCUGAAUAGGGCGUUUAGUAUUUGGUCGUAGACCCGAAACCAGGUGAUCUACCCUUGGUCAGGUUGAAGUUCAGGUAACACUGAAUGGAGGACCGAACCGACUUACGUUGAAAAGUGAGCGGAUGAACUGAGGGUAGCGGAGAAAUUCCAAUCGAACCUGGAGAUAGCUGGUUCUCUCCGAAAUAGCUUUAGGGCUAGCCUCAAGUGAUGAUUAUUGGAGGUAGAGCACUGUUUGGACGAGGGGCCCCUCUCGGGUUACCGAAUUCAGACAAACUCCGAAUGCCAAUUAAUUUAACUUGGGAGUCAGAACAUGGGUGAUAAGGUCCGUGUUCGAAAGGGAAACAGCCCAGACCACCAGCUAAGGUCCCAAAAUAUAUGUUAAGUGGAAAAGGAUGUGGCGUUGCCCAGACAACUAGGAUGUUGGCUUAGAAGCAGCCAUCAUUUAAAGAGUGCGUAAUAGCUCACUAGUCGAGUGACACUGCGCCGAAAAUGUACCGGGGCUAAACAUAUUACCGAAGCUGUGGAUUGUCCUUUGGACAAUGGUAGGAGAGCGUUCUAAGGGCGUUGAAGCAUGAUCGUAAGGACAUGUGGAGCGCUUAGAAGUGAGAAUGCCGGUGUGAGUAGCGAAAGACGGGUGAGAAUCCCGUCCACCGAUUGACUAAGGUUUCCAGAGGAAGGCUCGUCCGCUCUGGGUUAGUCGGGUCCUAAGCUGAGGCCGACAGGCGUAGGCGAUGGAUAACAGGUUGAUAUUCCUGUACCACCUAUAAUCGUUUUAAUCGAUGGGGGGACGCAGUAGGAUAGGCGAAGCGUGCGAUUGGAUUGCACGUCUAAGCAGUAAGGCUGAGUAUUAGGCAAAUCCGGUACUCGUUAAGGCUGAGCUGUGAUGGGGAGAAGACAUUGUGUCUUCGAGUCGUUGAUUUCACACUGCCGAGAAAAGCCUCUAGAUAGAAAAUAGGUGCCCGUACCGCAAACCGACACAGGUAGUCAAGAUGAGAAUUCUAAGGUGAGCGAGCGAACUCUCGUUAAGGAACUCGGCAAAAUGACCCCGUAACUUCGGGAGAAGGGGUGCUCUUUAGGGUUAACGCCCAGAAGAGCCGCAGUGAAUAGGCCCAAGCGACUGUUUAUCAAAAACACAGGUCUCUGCUAAACCGUAAGGUGAUGUAUAGGGGCUGACGCCUGCCCGGUGCUGGAAGGUU
rnacentral:rRNA from 1 species